UUCUCUCUCCCUUUCUCUAAUCUAUUUCUGUCUCCUUUUUGUUAACGAGAGCAAACACGCAAUCAAGAACCUUCCUCUUCUCCUCCUCUGGCUGUUCUUCUCAUUCAUGGAGCUUUUAGAGGCGCGAAGAUCAGAGCCCCUCCGAGAGGAAGGGGCACAAACGGAAGGUUGGGAGCAACUUCAGGAGUAGCGCAGAUCUCAGCGACGCCACUCAAACUGAGAGUGUGGCAUUGCUCGCCUGACACUGCCAACCAGAUUCCAAAUACGCUGAAGAUGGAAUAGGCUUGCAAUCCAUUCCUUCGCACUUGGAGCAUAGAAAUCCCAUUCUUGGGUGUUAUUCGAGAGUUCAAGCCACACCUGCUCAUGGUCUUUGCUCAGGUGACCUAUACCCCCUCAUAUUUUAUCACCGAAGCUUCCUUCAAUCAUGGGAUGAGUCGCCUCAUGUGUAUGUAACCUAUUUGCAUGCUGUGUCUGGAGUUGUGAUGUUCCCUUUUGCUUCCAUGGUCAACACUACAGCUUCCCUUACCUUCAUCAUUGCAGUGGCACUCAGAUAUGACAAUAUUUUCCAGCAGAUAUCAACAAGUUGAGAUGCAGGGUUAGUUAUCAUGCUCUGAAAUUUCUUCCUGAUAUAGUGCAGAUGGCUGAUUUACUAACAUCAAGGAUGAGAAACCGAACAGGCAGUUCAAAUCCUUCUAUAUAAAUUUAAGAGUUUUGAUGGCAUUCAAGGCCCUGUUUAUGUGGGUACUGGAUUUGUCUUCAAUAGAACAUCUUUAUAUGGUUAUGAGCCUCCAAUCAAACCCGAGCAUAAGAAGCCUGGGUUGCUUUCUUCACUCUGCGUGGAAAUCCAAAUAAGAGCUAAAAAUCUAGCAAGAAAGGCUCAGACAAGAAAAAAAAUCUAGCAAGCAUGUUGAACCAAAUGUGCCCAUCUUCAGUCUAGAGGAUAUAGAAGAAGGGGUGCUGGAUUUGAUGAUGAGAAAUCACUACUCAAGUCACAAAUGAGCCUCGAGAAAAGGUUUGGUCAGUCUGCUGUAUUUGUUGCCUCUACACUUAUGGAAAAUGGGGGUGUUCCUCAGUCUGCAACUCCAGAAACUCUUCUUAAGGAGGCAAUUCAUGUUAUCAGCUGCGGUUAUGAGGAUAAAACAGAAUGGGGAAGUGAGGUGCUGUACGUGCAGCAAUCAAAUUCUUGCCAUAUAUAUACUUGAAUACAUUAAAUGCGAGGAAUCAUAACCAUACAAAGGAUGAAAACAUUAAAUGUGGGAAUCAUAACCAUCAUACACCUGUCGUUGCUGUAC